rnacentral:rRNA from 1 species
AGUGGGGAAUAUUGGACAAUGGGCGAAAGCCUGAUCCAGCAAUGCCGCGUGUGUGAAGAAGGCCUUCGGGUUGUAAAGCACUUUAGGCUGGAAAGAAAAAGCUUUGGCUAAUAUCCAAAGCCUUGACGGUACCAGCAGAAUAAGCACCGGCUAACUCUGUGCCAGCAGCCGCGGUAAUACAGAGGGUGCAAGCGUUAAUCGGAUUUACUGGGCGUAAAGCGUGCGUAGGCGGCUAUUUAAGUCGGAUGUGAAAGCCCUGGGCUUAACCUGGGAACUGCAUUCGAUACUGGGUAGCUGGAGAUCGGUAGAGGGCGGCGGAAUUCCGGGUGUAGCGGUGAAAUGCGUAGAUAUCCGGAGGAACACCGAUGGCGAAGGCAACCGCCUGGGCCUGAUCUGACGCUGAGGCACGAAAGCGUGGGGAGCAAA